GAUGAACGCUGGCGGCGUGCCUAAUACAUGCAAGUCGAACGGAAAAUUCUUGGUACUUGUAUCGGGAGUUUUUAGUGGCGAACGGGUGAGUAACGCGUUGGUGACCUACCCCAAAGUGGGGGAUAACAGAUCGAAAGGUCUGCUAAUACCUCAUGUUGUCAUCGUUUUUAGAAAUCGAUGAUUAAAGGAGCAAUCCGCUUUGGGAGGGGCCUGCGUCCCAUCAGCUAGUUGGUAGGGUAAUGGCCUACCAAGGCUUUGACGGGUAAGGGACCUGAGAGGGUGACCCCUCACAAUGGAACUGAAACACGGUCCAUACACCUACGGGUGGCAGCAGUAGGGAAUAUUGCACAAUGGACGAAAGUCUGAUGCAGCAACGCCGCGUGUACGAUGAAGGCCUUCGGGUCGUAAAGUACUUUUCAGGGAGAUGAGAAAGGACAG
rnacentral:rRNA from 1 species